rnacentral:rRNA from 1 species
UACGUAGGGGGCGAGCGUUGUCCGGAUUUAUUGGGCGUAAAGAGCUCGUAGGCGGCUUGGCAAGUCGGGUGUGAAACCUCCAGGCUCAACCUGGAGACGCCACUCGAUACUGCCAUGGCUAGAGUCCGGUAGGGGACCACGGAAUUCCUGGUGUAGCGGUGAAAUGCGCAGAUAUCAGGAGGAACACCAAUAGCGAAGGCAGCUCGCUGGGACGUUACUGACACUGAGGCGCGAAAGCGUGGGGAGCGAACAGG